AAAGAAAAAAUAUGCGAAGAACGGCGGAUAUAGUCACCAUUGCUAGAAAAAGUAGAAUAAUUGAUUAGAAGAAUAAGAACUAAUUGAAGAAAAAAGAUGAAAUGAUGAAAAAAGAAAGAGAAGAGAAUUAAAGAAGAAUGUGAAGCAGAUAAAUGACGACAUAAUAAAAGAGAAUGAUAGAUAGGGGUGUCAAAAUAGGUUAAUACCCAUGGGUUACCCAAACCCCUCCAUGAUUUUAAUGGGUUUUAGCGGGUUACCCUAACAGGGUUAUGGGUUUAUGAUAUGUCUAUAAUUUGCAUGUUUUCAGUGUCCAUUCAUCAUCGUUUUGAGUCCAGUUUCAUAUCAUUCAUAACUGUUUUAUAUCAUUUCUCAUCAUUCUUGCAUACUUUGCAUUAUUAGGAUAGCUUUGCAUACAUAUUGCAUUUCUGAGUUGUUUUCAGGUGAUUUGGAGCUGUUGAAGAAGAAACGAGCCAGAACCAGGAGACAUACUCGACCACCAGGUCGUGUGCAUCUAGCGCCAUACUCGACCCCCUGGUCGAGUGACUUUGGAGCCAUUCUUCCCAUCUACUCGACCCCUAGGUCGAGUAUCCUCAGCUCAGGCCACUCGAUGAUGCCACUCAACCCCCUGGUCGAGUAACACUUCGCCACACCACCUGACCACAUUCGGCCGUUCACUCUACCACGUUACUCGACCUCCUGGUCGAGUAUCAUCACUCACCACCAACACCAUCACUCGACCGGACACUCGAUCACGUCUUCAAAGUCUACUCAAAUCCGCACUCAACCAGGCAAGCUGAGCAUAAGGAAGAGAAGAGGAGAAGACGAAGUGUUUGGAAACGGCCUGGACCUCCACCGGAUCACGAAGCCCAUCUCGGCCCAUUAUCAUUCUAUGGGCCGGGCGAUUAGGUUAUUGGCCCGUCUACUAUCAUUUUAUUUCGUUUUGUAUAAAUAGAUGUCUUAGGGUUCUGUCUUGGGACAUCUAGUCGACAUUGAGUUUUUGCUUCAGUUUUAUUUGCUGUUUUACUCUGCUGCGCCGCUUUUGCUUCUACAACCUGUAAUUCAAUAUUUUUCCAAGUUAUUCAGAUUCCACAUUUUAUCUCAUCUGUCAUCUUGUUUCUCUACUCUUUAUCUCUUUACUUAUGCAAUAUUAUCAUUUAUCUGCGUUUAUGUCUUUGAGCAUGUUGUUUGAGUAGUGACUUAGAAUUUUUAGGGAUGGGAUAGAGUAGUUGUGGAAUCUGUAGUCUGUAGAAUGGUUAAGUUUUAGAAUUGAUUGAAUCCCUUCAGGACUAGUUGUGUUUACUGCUUAUUUCUUUCUGAUCAAUUGGAAUUUGAUCCCAAGCAUUCUCGCACCCAGAAGGUGUUCGAUGGAAUGCUUGAUCCACUAGUUCCUGAGAUAUUCGUCUCUAUCCCAAGGGAUUGGCCGUUUAGAGCGUUUAUUGACUUUAUCAGUCUGUUUCUUAUUGCCUGCAUAGUUAGAUUUCGUUAAUGGGAAUUAGUCUGGGUUAGCUUUGCUUGAGGAUUUCUAUCACGGGAGUGAAUUGAUCUGUUGUUGAACCUAUUGUCUAGGGAUAGCUUGAUUGCGCUUGUUAACCAUUCGAAUAGGCUAGGAUACCACUCUAUUCGAUUACCCCAUCCUUAGGAAUUUCUCGUCUAUUUGAUUUCUUUGUUAUAUCGUUAUCACUUAAUCGUUCUCAUUGCUUGUUUCUUUGUUUUUGCAAUCACUCGAUCAACUUACUCGACCACACCCAGUGUCUGGCAACAGACUGUGCAGUCGAGUACGGUUGUCUCAUUUCCUGUCUGUCACUCGACCGGUAUACUCGACCACACCCAGUGUCUGGCAACAGUCUGUGCAGUCGAGUAUAUCUGUUUCAUAUCCUGCCUGUUACUCGAUCACAUCCUACAUCUGGCAUCAGCCUGUUGUGGUCGAGUGAUUUUAGUAAUUCUGUUAUUGUUUCUGUUUUCUGCAUGUUCACUUAGGACUGUUAGAAACCCCAAUACUUAUAUUGCUUGGCUUGACUUAGUGACUUCUGAUCACAUCUCAUCUGUUUGCAUCACACCCAUUUGGAUUGACACCUAAAAUACUACAACGACAUGAUUAGGGUUUUAGGAUAAUUGACUAAAAAUCUAUUAUCAAUUUGGCGCCGUUGCCAAUUGGGCGUUUGUUUGCUAUAUUUGAGAUUUCAGAAUAUUUAAGAUAAAGUUCUUUUUCAUUUUUUCUGAAAGUUACUAACUUUGUGUUUUUUCUGUUUGUCUGUUUUGAUUCAGGUACUACGAAUCACCAGCUUCACCAGUUGGUACUCGUUGUAUGCAAACACGGUCACAAGAAAAUCAGAAUCUCCUGUUCAACGAUAACAUAAACCGUAUUGCACGCCAACUCAGAACACAGACAAAAACAGACACAAUAGCUGCAGUUGUAGAUGAGCAAGUGCAACCAAACAACAUAGGUGCAGACGAUGCACCACGCAACCACAAUCAGCGUAAUGGCAUCGUGCCUCCACCAGUGUAGAAUAACA
rnacentral:sRNA from 1 species